UCAAGAAACUUCCACAAUGGGCGAAAGCCUGAUGGAGCGACGUCGCGUGAUGGACGAAGUGCUUCGGCACGUAAACAUCUUUUAUGUGGGACGAAAUUAUUGACGGUACCACAUGAAUAAGGGGUUGCUAAACUCGUGCCAGCAGCAGCGGUAAUACGAGUGCCCCGAGCGUUAUCCGGAAUCAUUGGGCGUAAAGGGUGUGUAGGUGGCAUUGUUAGUCACACGUUAAACCCUGGGGCUUAACCCCAGAUCUGCGUGUGAUACGGCAAAGCUAGAGGAUGGCAGGGAUGUAUGGAACUCAUGGAGUAGGGGUGAAAUCCGUUGAUAUCAUGGGGAACACCGAAAGCGAAGGCAGUACAUUGGGCCACUCCUGACACUGAAACACGAAAGCGUGGGUAGCGAAUGGGAUUAGAUACCCGAGUAGUCCCUGAGCGGGCUGGCAAGGCGCAU
rnacentral:rRNA from 1 species